rnacentral:rRNA from 1 species
AUUGAACGCUGGCGGCAUGCUUUACACAUGCAAGUCGGACGAGUGGCGAACGGGUGAGUAACGCAUCGGAACGUACCGAGUAAUGGGGGAUAACUGUCCGAAAGGACAGCUAAUACCGCAUAUUAUUCGAGCGGCCGAUGUCUGUGUAGCUGGUUGGCGGGGUAAAGGCCCACCAAGGCGACGAUCAAUAGCGGGUCUGCGAGGAUGAUCGGCAACACUGGGACUGAGACACGGCCCAGACUCCUACGGGAGGAAGAAGUGGGGAAUGUUGGACAAUGUGCGCAAGCCUGAUCCAGCCAUGCCGCGUGUCUGAAGAAGGCCUUCGGGUUGUAAAGGACUUUUGUCAGGGAAGCGGUACCUGAAGAAUAAGCACCGGCUAACUACGUGCCAGCAGCCGCGGUAAUAC